rnacentral:tRNA from 1 species
UCCUGGUUAGUUCAGUUGGUAGAGCUGUCAACUUGAGAUGGAGAGGUCCCUGCUUCGAUACUAGGACCAGGCG